rnacentral:tRNA from 1 species
GCGGGAUUAACUCAGUUGGUAGAGUGUCAGCUUCCCAAGCUGAAUGUCGCCGGUUCGAACCCGGUCACCCGCUCCA